rnacentral:snRNA from 1 species
GUGUUCAGUUCAGUAGUACAUAUAUUAAAAUUAGAAUGAUACACAGAAGAAUUAGCAUGAUCCUUUGCAUGGGAAUGACACACAAAUUUGUGAAAUAUUCCAUAUUUUA